UUCUUUUAAUAACUCGUUCAUAUUUAGCUAAAAAUAGGAUUCUCGGAUGUGAUUCUUUGAAUACAAAUUGUUUUUUUUUUUUCAACUAUAAAACGCAAUUUCAUUCAUGAGCGUGUACAACAAACACAUGUAUGUGUGCGCAUUGUAUGGCACUCCAAGUCUCCACUGGUCUACGGGAAACUUUUUCAAAAGCGCCUGCGCAAAACGAAAGUCUUUGAAAAGAUAAGAAAUAGCUUACGUAUGCUGUAAUAGUAGUUAGCGCUCUCAUUCUGACGCACGUAAUAAGUGUUCGACCCAACAGGCUCAAGCAAAAUUCCAACACAUUUCGUUGUUGCGUACUUUCGAACAUUCAUCAUACGAGCGCCGAGGAGCUGUAGCCGAGCUUUGAAAAAAUUUUCGCAGUUGGCUAAAAAUUACCGUAAGUGAAAAAGUGCUCAACGCAUGAAAAUUAUAGGAAAAUUAAAUAAUUAUUACUAAUUAAAGUGCAAAUGUCAAAUUUCGCAAUUUGAGCUCCAAAUAAACUACAACAACUAGCGAAAAAGCACACAAAGGACACAAACGUAUACUUUUGGCGAGUCAUCGAGUAAAAGGCAGAAGUGCAAUAAUAACAACAACAACAACAUACAGCAAUUUCGCAUAGUCUCUAUUGCUUUCGAACUUCGAAUGCAUAAAGCUAGUUAAUUUCGAAAACAACCCCCGAAAGCCAACUCCAACACAUAUGGCACGUAAUCAAAACAACAACAACUAAAACAACAGCGUAAAUUAGCGCCCAGCACCCACACACCCCCUACCGUUGCCUACCGUCUCUGUGAGUGUCAAAGUUACAGUCGCCGUCAGUGCUAGGGUAUCUAUAUAAUUGGCAGAAAUUUUGUAGGCAAAAGCGUUUGCGGUCUAUCUAGCCUACCUUGCCGCACCCUAUCGCCCACUCGCCUAGCACAGCAGCCAACAGCCGAAAUUAGUAGCAGCAGCAGCAGCAGCGGUAGCGCCAGCGUCAGCAACUGAUAUUCCUCAAUUUCUCUCAACGCUCAGUGCUUUUAGUCCAGCAGUCGCAGCGCAAAGUAUCGAAACAGAGCGAGUAACAUCUCAUCGGUUUUAGUUAAAACUUCACAACAAAAAUGGGCAAGAAAGAUAAGAAGAAGGAUGAGGCGGAACCAGGACCAGCAGCCGAUGCACCACCAGCUGAUACUGCCGCAGGUGAGGGCGGUGAUGGUGAGAUUGUCGGUGGACCGCGCAAUCCUCAACAGAUUGCAGCACAAAAACGGUUACAGCAGACGCAGGCACAAGUCGAUGAGGUCGUCGACAUAAUGCGAACAAAUGUGGAGAAGGUGCUUGAGAGAGAUCAAAAGUUAUCGGAAUUGGAUGAUCGAGCUGAUGCCUUACAACAGGGUGCUUCGCAAUUUGAGCAACAAGCUGGUAAACUAAAACGAAAAUUCUGGUUACAAAACUUGAAGAUGAUGAUUAUUAUGGGCGUUAUUGGACUGGUCGUUGUGGGCAUUAUUGCAAAAAAAGAUGAAGAUUAACUCACGUAUAAAGUUUGCACCAUUAUUUGACCUAAGCAAUAAAAUAUUUUACACUCAAUUAAUACCCUGCGAAAGAUAAACUAGGAUUAAUAGGCGGCGAAACACAGCCACAAUAUCCACAGUAUCCACAAUACAUGCCACCACCACCACCACAACAACAGGCACAAGCGCCAGCCGGUGGCACUUCAUCAUUGGCUGACGGCGGCAGUGCUGGCAACAAAGAGCAACACGGUGCAGUAUAAAGAUUUUCUUCAAGUGUAUUAAGUUAAAGUGGGAACAGUGGAGCAAAAUAAAACAACUAAAACCAAAAAUGAAAAAUAAAAAAAAAACAAGAAAAAUAUAAAUACUUCAAAUCAUUAGAAAAAAUAUUUAAAAGAAUUACCAGAAAAUUUGAAUGAAUGUCAGAACAACAAUUUAAGGCAAUUGCAGGAAGUGCGACAAAUUGUUAGCAGACGAACACAUAACCUCAAAAAAACAAGAAACAAUUUAAGGAGUUUUAUUGUUGCGCCAUUUUUUUGCAUUUUCUCGGCGAAUUGUUUUGGCAGCGGCGUUGAAAUGCUGUAGUGUAACUUGGUUACAUAACUUUUUCUCCAUUUUUCAUUAGUAAACUCAAGCUCAAGUGCACCGUUAAUGGAAAUUAUUUGUUAUUUUAGUUAGUUUUAUUAGUGUCUACAUCCCUCUUUUGCUCCAGUAACUCUCGCCCGCUGUCAACUGUCAAGUAUUUGUCGACACAAUUGCUAACACUUGUGUGCAAAAAAAUACAAGUACAGUGUGGUACUGUAAAGAAUCGACGUGCAACGUAAGUUUUUGGCAAUAAUUUCAAUACAUGUACACCAAAAAUGAUGAAACUCAUAAAAAAUUACUUACUACUUUAACUUUAUUAUAAUAUUUGAACAAUGCGUAAAAAAAAUAAUUACAAUUAAUAUUUGAAAUAUUGACAUUUACUGCAUAUUUGUUUAUGGUUGCAUUAUUUGAAAUGCGAAAGCAACAACAACAAAAAAUACAAAAUGUGAAAAACCAAAGAGCAACGGGCAUAAAAACCAGUGUUUAAACUACAAAAACAAAACUACUUGUAUUAUUAAUGAAAAAUAAGAACAAAAUAAAAGCAACAGAAAUAAAGUAAAAAGAAAACAAGAUGCUGGAGAACACAGAGAAUAAAAAUAAAUCAUACACUCUGCGUAAAACUAAAGUGACGAGCAAAAUAUAUAAAUUUUGUGGAUUUAUGAAUUUUUAUAUUUAUGUUUUAUGUUUUGAAAAUAUAUAAAUCUGUAUGUAUGUAUUUUGCAAAGAAUAAUUUUUGUAUUUAAUUUAAAAAUUGUUAUAAAUAUGUAUUUAUUCAAUUUGUUAUAAUAACUCUUAUUUGAAACAUUUAAUUUGCUUAGCAAAAAUGUAUUUAAGUAGAAAAAAAAUAAAUAUAAGCAAGUUAAUGUUAAUAAAAAAAACUUAUACGAGGCACAUGUAUGGGAAUGUUAAAUUUGUAUUAGAAAAAAUCGUGUUUUUGCUUGAAAUGGCGUGCAUAACUACAUAUAUAUAUAUAUAUAUAUAUAUAUAUAAAUAUACUACAUAAAUAUACAUAUAUAUGAAACUAAUCAGUGCGUACGCCUAAUUAAUUAAUUAAUUAAAUGCCAAAACUACAAAAAAUGUUUAAACAAAACAAAAAAGACAGAAUUGAAAAUAUUUUAUUUUGCUUUAACUUUUUCCUUACUAAUAUAUUUUGUAAUUGCGCUAUUUUCUUUAUAUGCAUGUAGAUAUUUCACGCCCUAAAAGUUUUAACAAUCAAUAAAACAAACAAUAAAAUUUCAACGAUUAUUUUAAGUCACAAUUAAGAGCGAUUGUUAAAAAAACUAUGAAAUAAAAAGCUUUAUUGUCAUGCAAACAAGUUACAGAUACGUAAACGGCUAUGUUAGUGCCUGCAUUUAUUUCACACAAAACUGUAAUGUCGGGCAUUGCCAUAUCAAACUGCGUUAGUUUGCUCAAAGUGUGAUUAGUCAGGUAUGUGUAACGGUGAAUACGUAGCAUAUUGGCUAUUAAACGCAUCUGUGGCGUUGAAUCGAAAUCGGCUGAUAACUUUUCGGCGCAAAACUUUAAACUGUUGUGGCUUAAAAGCGGCAUUGGUGCCAGAAAAUAUAAGCCAGAUCGCAAUAUUUGAUUUAUACUUAAUUAUUUUCCACAAAUUAUGCAGGGAGUAUAACAUUUUUGUUUUGUUUGUUUUUCAUUUAAUUUAAGAAACGUGAACUGGCAACUUCUGGCAAUAUGUGAUCAAUCAGCUGAUGCUUCUUAUAUAAACAUUAAUAUUUACAGCUGUUUAAUAGCGUUUGCUGGCACGACUAACCACACUAUGACCAAAUCUGUAUGAAACAAUAAAGUUUUUUUCUUAUAAAAAUAUAUAAAUAAUGGCAACAGUUCUUACAAUAGCCGCGCAGUGUCCCAAA